rfam:Schistosoma rodhaini strain Burundi genome assembly, scaffold: SROB_scaffold0002844
AUCCAGCUGACGAGUCCGAAAUUGGACGAAACGCGCUUUCUGGAU